GUGUAAAUCUACUGAAGGAGAAUCACCAGAGAGCUGGGUGACAGUGAGAGGCGUAACUCCUGGACCCUCUACAUCAGUCCUAGUAGUAGUGGUUGUGGGCCUGGUUGUUGCUGGUGUUCUACUGGCCAUUCUCCUGGUACUGCUGUGUCGAUAUAAAAACGCCAAAGGUUCCUGUUGUAACAGGAUAUUCUCGCCCCCCCAGCCACACAGCACCAACCUGGACCCCCA